rnacentral:rRNA from 1 species
GGGGGAAUAUUGGAGAAUGGGGGGAACCCUGAUCCAGCCAUGCCGCGUGGGUGAAGAAGGCCUUAGGGUGGUAAAGCACUUUAAGAGAGGAGGAGGGUACUGGUAGUAAGAGUAGCAGCUACGGGACGUUACUCGGAGAAGAAGAACCGGCUAACUCUGUGCCAGCAGCCGCGGUAAUACAGAGGGUGCGAGCGUUAAUCGGAUUUACUGGGCGUAAAGCGUGCGUAGGCGGCUAAUUGAGUCGGAUGUGAAAUCCCCGAGCUUAACUUGGGAAUUGCAUUCGAUACUGGUUAGCUAGAGUGUGGGAGAGGAUGGUAGAAUUCCAGGUGUAGCGGUGAAAUGCGUAGAGAUCUGGAGGAAUACCGAUGGCGAAGGCAGCCAUCUGGCCUAACACUGACGCUGAGGUACGAAAGCAUGGGGAGCAAACAGG